AUUUCUUUAACAAUAUUGUCUCGGUUUUCCCUAGCUGGCUGGCAGGCACGCUGCAUUUGUCAACUGGGAUGCAAAGAUGAAGGUUUGCUCUUUAUGAAUUGACUAGGUAACUUUAUGGAUGUUGUAACUUUAAUAAUAAUAAUAAUAAUAAUAAUAAUAUUAUUAUUUAUACCCCGCCCAUCUGGCUGGGUUUCCCCAGCCACUCUGGGUGGCUUCCAACAAAAUAUUAAAAUACAAUAGUCUGUUAAACAUUAAAAGCUUCCCUAAACAGGGCUGCCUUCAGAUGUCUUCUUAAAGUCUGGUAGUUGUUUUUCUCUUUGACAUCUGGUAGGAGGGCGUUCCACAGGGCAGGUGCCACUACCGAGAAGGCCCUCUGCCUGGUUCCCUGUAAGGUGGCUUCUCGCAGUGAGGGAACCACCAGAAGGCCCUCGGUGCUGGACCUCAGUAUCCGGGCAGAACUAUGGGGGUGGAGACGCUCCUUCAGGUAUACUGGACUGAAGCCAGUUAGGGCUUUAAAGGUCAGUAUUUAUCUUGCUCUAAAGCAUCUUAAACUGGAGCAGAGUCUUUGUAUUAGAACGAUAUUCUAUGCCUUUUUAUAUACAGUGGUACCUCGGGAUGCAAACGAGAUCCGUUCCAGAGCCCCGUUCUCAUCCCGAAUGGAACACAAGUUGUGACGGUGCGUCUGCACGGGUCACGUUUCACCUCUUCUGCACACGCGUGUGACGUCAUUUUGAGCAUCUGCGCAUGCAUGAGCGGCAAAACCCAGAAGUAACACGCUCCGUUACUUCCGGGUUACCGCGGAGCGCAACUCGAACGAGCUCAACCCAAAGCACAUUCAACUCGAGGUAUGACUGUAGUUGAAUGUUAUUUACAAAAAAUGUAACACAGGGCAGUGGCGUAGCGUGGGGGUGCAGGGGGGGCCGGCCGCACCGGGCGCAACAUCGGGGGGGCGCUCACACUCGCAGCUCUCUGCCCCUACCUGGCUCACUCACUCUCUCUCACUGCAGUGCUGGCUGUGCGAAUCCGAUCCAAGCCGCUGGGUCGCCGCCCACUGUGGAGGGGGUGGGUGCCAGGCGUGCGGUGCGGAGAGAGAGCGAGGGACUAUCUGGGGGAGGGACAGUGCAGCGGCCGCCCAGCGCAGCGCUGAGCGCGGGAGAGAACCACACCAGACCAGACCAGGCAGUAGCAAGAAGAAGCUGGCAGCGGCGGCAGGUUAGGGGUUAGGGGGCGCAAAUUACUUGCCUUGCCCCGGGUUAGGGGGCGCAAAUUACUUGCCUUGCCCCAGGUUAGGGGGCGCAAAUUACUUGCCUUGCCCCGGGUUAGGGGGCGCAAAUUACUUGCCUUGCCCUGGGUGCUGACAACCCACGCUACGCCGCUGACACAGGGCAGUAUUCUGCUAAGUAACUGAGGUAGCAGAACAACUUCUGCUUGCACAAUGGGCUUUCUCUCUUCUCCAUGUCACCUGCGCUGUCCCCAGAUCUUCUCCAGGGGGUUGGGGGAACCCCUAGAACAGAUUAUGAGGGUGCAGGAGGAAGGAGAGGAGAAGAAUGUUUCCUUGCACUGAUGAACCAUUUGCCAUUCCACCAAUGAACCCAAGCAUAUAAAAAGGCAUAAAAUUCUUUUAUUGGAGAAUGCUUUAUCACAAAUCAGGGUACAGGCAGUGAAGCAGUGUGUGUCAUUUCCGUGAAAAUCAAGUGCAUGCAGAAGAUGUUUUAACCAGUAAUUGUAGGAAGGAGUGUCUGGCAAGGUAUGCAAGUCCUUUCUGGGGAAGGGAAGUGGCAGGUCAAGGUCCAAUUAGUGAAUAUUGAGAAAGGGAGAUCAGGGCAAAGCCAGUCUUGUCUUGCAUGGGGCCAGUACAAUUAUCAUUCAGCUAUUCUUUUACUUGUCCCUGGACUAUUCAAGCUGCUGUCACCCAGAAGCCUUAUAAUUGUUCAGCACAUACAGUGCCCAGAUCCCAAGAAGAAAUGUUUGCACUCUGUUCUGCAUUGGUCAGGCUGCCUCUGAAGUACUGAGUGUCCGGUUCAGGGCACCACAUUUUAAGAAUUACACUGACAAACUGGAGUGUGUCCAGAGGGUGGGGGACAGGAUGAUGAGGGGUGUGGAGACCAAGUCCUUUGGGGGAAAGUCAAUACAGCUGGACAUGUUUUGCAUUGAAAAGGAAAGCUCAAGCUGAGAGACCAUCAGGGUCUGCAACUAUCUGCAGGGCUGUUGUGCACAAGAUAAAGCAGACUCUCUUGCUCCAAUGGGUGGAACAAAUAGACCCAACAGGUAGGAAUUGCAAGGAAGCAGGAAAAGCUUCCUGACAGUCAGAACUGACCAUCAGUAGAACAAUCUGCCUCCGGAGGCGAUGGGCUCUCUUCCACUGGUAGUAUUUAAACAGAGUAUAAAGAGCAACCUACACCAUCUUUUAGAACAACGGUCGCUAAAUCAUAGCCUCCCCCACAAAAAACCCAAACUGUCAUUUAAAAUAGUUUUCUUAAUUGACCGCUGCCAUAACUGUGUUCCCCACUCCUAAUGUCGUGAGGCCCAAAGGUUUGUGGGGCUCCCAAUUUUCCCAUCCCCUCACACGAUCAAUUUAUUCUUUUUUCUUUUGCUGAGCACUCCUUUAGAUCCACCAAUUAUGGGAGAGUAAGAUUAUCAUUAAUAAUUAAUAAUAUUUAUAUGCCACUUAAUAUGCAAAAUCCCUCAGCAGUUGACAUAAAACACAGUAAGAUCAUUAAAAAGGAAAGGGGUGUGGAAUGUAUACGCAAGACUUAAAACCGAAAGUACAUAGAAAUACAUCAGCAAAAACAGAGAAGCCAUCAAUACAAGAUGCAGUUAAAUAUCAAUAAAUAAUAAAGUAGAAUAAUGUGAAGAAAGUUACGAGCCGGGGAAUGCCUGCUUAAGCAGAUGGAUGGGUCUUCGAAGCUUGCCACUGAGCCUAGGGCUUGCCAAUCGGAAGGUCGGCGGUUCGAAUCCCCGCGACAGGGUGAGCUCCCAUUGCUCUGUCCCAGCUCCUGCCAACCUAGCAGUUCAAAAGCACGUCAAAGUGCAAGUAGAUAAAUAGGUACCACUCCGCCGGGAAGGUAAACGGUGUUUCCGUGAGCUGCUCUGGUUCGCCAGAAGUGGCUUAGUCAUGCCAGCCACAUGACCCGGAAGCUGUACACCGGCUCCCUCGGCCUGUAAAGCGAGAUGAACACCGCAAACCCAGAGUCAUCCACGACUGGACCCAAUGGUCAGGGGUCCCUUUACCUUUACCUAACAGCAAGUGGAAGAGUGUCCCAGAGAGUGGUGGGAUUCUGACCAUUGGCCACUGUUACAGAACUUGGGGGGGGGUUUCCCCCCAAACACCAAAAUUUAUAAAUGCUAGGAUUUUGGGUUAUUUGUGAUAUAAGCUGCAAAGGGGUUCCUGGGUAGCCUGGCCAAACUAGGGCCGUUAAGAGAGCCAUUGCGGGUCAUUAACAAGACAAUGGAACUUCUUGCCCAGGUGUGACAAGAGAUUGGAGAUUUGGAAGGUUGCCAGGGUAACUGCUGUGGGGGAGGACAAGGAGCUUCUGGGAAGAAGAAAGGGUGAGAUCCAUCUUGGCGAAGGAGAAGGAAGAACUGCCUGCAAUGCUUUGGACCAUGCUAUAAGAUCUGGACCCCCUCCAUGCAGACUGAAGGUGAAAAUAUAAAACCACAUUUCUUGAAGCUCAG